UUGCUAUGAUGACCAAUCUUAGGACACCUUUGGAUUGCCCGUGAAAUCAAACGUGAUGCUGAGCGAC